GCAGUUGUGGCUGAGGGGUUAAGGCGAUGGACUAGAAGUCCAUUGGGGUCUCCCCGCACAGGUUCGAAUCCUGUCGACUGCG
rnacentral:tRNA from 1 species